CAAUAGCGUAUAUUAAAGUUGUUGCAGUUAAAAGCUCGUAGUCGGAUUUCGGGUCGGGCCGAGCGGUCUGCCGAUGGGUAUGCACUGUUUGGCGCGGCCUUCUUUCCGGAGACCGCGGCUACUCUUAACUGAGCGGGCGUGGGAGACGGAUACGUUUACUUUGAAAAAUUCAGAGUGUUUCUAGCAGGCAGCUCGCUCUUGCAUAGGUUAGCAUGGGAUAAUUUAAUAUGGACUCUGGUGCUAUUUUGUUGGUUUCGAAACACCGGAGUAAGUGAUUAAAGGGGCAGUCAGGGGCACUCGUAUUCCGAUCGAGAGAGGUGAAAUUCUCAGACCAAAUGGAAUG
rnacentral:rRNA from 1 species